rnacentral:lncRNA from 1 species
GGGCCCCUGCAGGUGGUGCUUGGGGGCUCUGGAGGGUGGACGUGUCGGCAAUCCGUGUGGGUGAAGUUAAAAUGGUAAAUCCUCCUCUGUGCUUCUGGCCCGGGCUGUCUCAAGCGGAAAAGUGAAGCCUUUAUUCUUUCUGGCUCCUGGUGCCCAGCAUCGGCACCGUGAGUCCAGGUGUCCCUGCAGUCCCUGUGCGGAAACAUUAUCUGUGAGUCCCAUUUCGUGACUAAGACGGUCCGGGCUUGGAGAGGGUUGAGGGCCUGAGCCCACGAAGGGCGGCUGUCUGUCUGCUUGGUCUCACAGCUUCGCCCCUUCACUCCAAGGAUGUUCCUUAGCGUCUGGUUGUCUCAGCUCCUCGUGCAGAAGUGACAGCCCCUUUCGCCAGGAAUCCUUCCUGUUCCCUUUGCAGCUGCACUGGGGCUGCCCUGGGUUUUGCCCUCACUCUCCGCCUUGCCAUCCACCCACUGGCAUCAGCGGUUAUGUUCUCCAAAGGAGCCCAAGUCCGCACACGAUACAGUCCCACCCGAUGUCACUGGCCCGUCCGUCUGCCUCGUGUCGGCCUCGGGGCUGUGCAGUCGCCUCCUUGUGUUUUGUUUACAGCGACCCUGAGGCUCGCUUAGUAACCUGGAGCGUUUAGGGGCUGUUUACGAGCCUCUAGGUAGCAGAUGAGUCAGCGGAGUUACUGUGGGGAAGCAGGAUUUUCCCUGUCUCUGAAAGAAGAGCCAUUCUGUUGAGUGUUGAGGUCAGACCCCUGCUUCUGUUGGUGUCGCCAUCUGUCCGGUUGUUACUCCUUUGAAAGUUAGUCUUUUUUUUUUCCUCUGGCUAAUUUCCUCUUUGCCUUUGAUUUUCAGCGUCUUAUCUUACUCUAGAGUCCAAUUUUCUUUUUUUUUUUUUUCCCACUUAACAACAAGGGGGUCAGGUUAUCCUUACAUGUAUACAUUGCAAUUACAGUUUUUCCCCCCCCCUUUCUUCUGUUGCAACAUGAAUAUCUAGACAUAGUUCUCUAGAGUCCAAUUUUCUAUUGAAAUUUGCCUCUUUGAGGAUGACUUGGAAAGUGCUUUUGGAAAAGUUCCAGAAUGACCUUGGAGCUCAGUUCAUCUCUUUCUUUUCUCUCAAGAAUUGUGGCUUCUUGAAUCCUGCCUGUGGGGUGCCCCCCAGUGCUCUCGAAUCGUGAUUGUGGGUCUUGUCCAACUUGUGUAGUUGUUUUCAGCUGUCUCAUCAUGGCCAAACUAGAACUUUGUGGAGCAGCUUUUCAACAGCUGUGGUCACUUCGGGGAACGUGAAUGAUCCUGAUGAAUGAUUUCAAUACUGGUUUUCUCUGCUCAAUCUGUUAUUUUGGAGAAAACAAUAAGCAAUUUGUGGUUUUUUUAAAAUGCUCCCACUCCCUGCCUACUCCAGCCAGUGCAGAAAAACAAGCUAAGCAGAUAUUUACUGUGUUUCAAAGUCUGUUUAUCUGUGACUUUCCCCUGGAUUCUUUUAUAAUAGAGCCAAGGAUUCCCAAAGCAUCACCCAGGUAGAAAGAGCAGACCAUUCACAAGCUGUUUAGUUACACAAACAGCAUGAAUAUUUUUGUGAUUCCUGAUAGAAACUGCGGUUCAAAAACCAUGUUCCCACUGUGUGGAUGCUGGUUUCUCUCCCCUGUCGCUGGGUUGGCCCUCCUCUCCUGCUUUUCCCAGCUCUCUGCCAGUUGGUUCAGCGGAUGGACAGAAUCCCUGCUGUACUCAGGACAGCGCUGGACUAGGCUAAGUGUAGAAAAUGAUUAAUGAGAGCCCCUAUAUCCAGCAGCCGUCCUUCUGUUCCCGUGUGGGUGGACCAGGUGCCUACAUAAGUCAUUCUAAAUAAAGGCAAAAUGUGUCACAACUCAGGCAGAAACAGGUGCUGAGUUAUUAAUCCUACUCUGAUUGGAAGCACUAGGUUCCUGUAAUUCUCUCAUUCCUUUUCACUAGUAAGUUAACAAGGGGCUUUGGAAUAUAAUGGGUAGGAAAAGAACCUUUUUCUUUCUUAGUUAAAAAGAUAAUUAUGCCACAGCAUACACAAAUUUUUUAAAGAAAUGCACUUUCACUGCCCUAUCUCCUUAAUAUAGAAAUUCAAUUGGGGGGCUUUUUCUCUUUGAUCUAUUCCAUUUACAUGUGUUUUAGGUAAUUAGAAUGCAUACUUUGAUAGUCUGCAUUUUUACUGCCAAGCUUUUUACUUCAGCAUGGUCUUCAUAAUUCUGCUAUUUGAUGCUCGUUUUUCUCGUUGCUGUGCCAGUAUUUAACAAGUUUUCUUUUGUUAUAGACAGAUCUUUUUCUAGUUUUCCAUAUUAGAAACACCUUUGAUUCAGGAAUCCUACUCUUAAAACCUGUGUAUGAGUAAAUAACUCGACAGAGAACAAGCUAGUAUACCAAUAGUGCUAAUAUUUUUGCAGUACAGGCUUGAUGCAAACAGUAUGAAUAUCUUAGUGAUUCUGGAUACAAGCUGUGGCCCAAAAGCUAUUCUAACAAUUUAUGAGCCCAUCAGGUUUUAUAGCCAUACUUGUAUCAGGUGCUGUAACUAAAAUAUAUUGACUUACGUAGCAGCUAUAGAUGAGCCUUAAGUUUUGAUACAGGCCAUCUUUAUUAGUAACGGCGAGCCCUCUGUCUUGUGCUGUCUGUAUUGAGAGGUCAUUUUCAGCACUGAGCUUCUGGGUUUUAGUAAAUCGCCCCCUCCGGUGCCUUCUGUCCCUGUCAUGGUGUCCCUGUGGGCGUCUGUCCCCAGGGCUCGGUGAGAUACUCCAUGGGAACUACUCUGAACGGGGCCCACCCAGAAUAGGCACGUAGUCAGCACCUGUCUCGAGAAGAAUCAAAAGUGUGAGUGUGUCACAGCUUUCAUUUCUUCUCUUGCUCAACCUCAGGGAGAGGAGGGGCUAUACUUGUGGUUUUGUUAUUGAAAAGCCCAUUUUCAUUUCAAGUAAUUUGAUAUAACCCCAGUGUUUGCAGAUGAACAAAUAACCACAUAUAGGAGAGAUUAAACUCUGACAUUUAAUUCUUUUUUAUGGUUUUAAUUCUAUAAAGUCUCUACGUAUUCAAGUCUUUAGAUAC